UACGUAGGGUCCGAGCGUUGUCCGGAAUUACUGGGCGUAAAGGGCUCGUAGGCGGCCAACUAAGUCAGACGUGAAAUCCCUCGGCUUAACCGGGGAACUGCGUCUGAUACUGGAUGGCUAGAGUUCGGGAGAGGGAUGCGGAAUUCCAGGUGUAGCGGUGAAAUGCGUAGAUAUCUGGAGGAACACCGGUGGCGAAGGCGGCAUCCUGGACCGACACUGACGCUGAGGAGCGAAAGCCAGGGGAGCAAACGGG
rnacentral:rRNA from 1 species